rnacentral:rRNA from 1 species
AACCUCCGCAAUGUGAGAAAUCGCGACGGGGGGAUCCCAAGUGCCAUUCUUAACGGGAUGGCUUUUCAUUAGUGUAAAGAGCUUUUGGAAUAAGAGCUGGGCAAGACCGGUGCCAGCCGCCGCGGUAACACCGGCAGCUCUAGUGGUAACAAUUUUUAUUGGGCCUAAAGCGUCCGUAGCCGGUUUAAUAAGUCUCUGGUGAAAUCCUGUAGCUUAACUGUGGGAAUUGCUGGAGAUACUAUUAGACUUGAGACCGGGAGAGGUUAGAGGUACUCCCAGGGUAGAGGUGAAAUUCUGUAAUCCUGGGAGGACCGCCUGUUGCGAAGGCGUCUAACUGGAACGGUUCUGACGGUGAGGGACGAAAGUUAGGGGCGCGAACCGGAUUAGAUACCCGGGUAGUCCUAGCCGUAAACGAUGCGGACUUGGUGUUGGGGUGGCUUUGAGCCGCUCCGGUGCCGAAGGGAAGCUGUUAAGUCCGCCGCCUGGGAAGUACGGUCGCAAGACUAAAACUUAAAGGAAGU